rnacentral:lncRNA from 1 species
AAUAGAAGAGCACAAGGUGACCUUGAAAUUAUUGGGAAGAUUUAGGUCAAAAUUAAACACUUAUUUAGGGUUUGAUUGAAUUAGGGUUUUAAAUGAAAGUAUUGGAUGAUAAAUUUAAUCAAUGAAGAAAUUAAAUCAAAUUGGAUGAAUUUUAUAGAUGAAUACUUAUUAAAAAUAGAUAAAUUUUCAUUCAUAGAUGACAAGUUAUUGGUGGAUGAAAAUUCAUUUGUGGAUGAGAAAUUAUCUUGGAUGAAAAUUAAUAGUGGAUAAAAAAUAAAAUAAAAAUUAUAUGAACUUAAAUUAAAUCAUAUAAAAAAUUGUCUUUCAAGUAUGUAUUUUUUUUUGUUAAAGAGUUCCUUGUGUUGUGGUUAUGUGAGAGUGGUUUUUAAUUAGUAAAGAAAAUAAAAAAUUUAAGAAAAAUUAAAAGAUAAUUUAAGAAAUUAAGUUAGAAGCUAAUUAAUAUUUAUAAAGUGGAAUAAAUUAUUUAUUAGAGUGAUUUAUUUUAGUUUAUUAUUGAAUGUUAUUA